CACGUAGGGCGCAAGCGUUGUCCGGAAUUAUUGGGCGUAAAGAGCUCGUAGGCGGUCUGUUGCGUCCGCUGUGAAAACUCGAGGCUCAACCUCGAGACGUCGGUGGAAACCGUUUGGCUAGAGUCCGGAAGAGGAGGAGUGGAAUUCCCGGUGUAGCGGUGAAAUGCGCAGAUAUCGGGAAGAACACCCGUGGCGAAGGCGGCUCUCUGGGACGGUACUGACGCUGAGACGCGAAAGCGUGGGGAGCGAACAGG
rnacentral:rRNA from 1 species